rnacentral:rRNA from 1 species
GUGACCUGGGGGCAGGGAGGGGGGGUAAUACAUGGGGUGUAAGCGGUGUUGGGAUUCGUGUGGCGGAAAGGGGUCGUAGGGGGCGGGGUAAGUCAGGUGUGAAAUCUCGGAGCGCAACUCCGAAACUGCACUUGAUACUGCCUUGCUCGAGUACUGGAGAGGGGAUUGGAAUUUACGGUGUAGCAGUGAAAUGCGUAGAUAUCGUAAGGAAGACCAGUGGCGAAGGCGAAUCUCUGGACAGUUACUGACACUGAGGCACGAAGGCCAGGGGAGCAAACGGGAUUAGAUACCCGUGUAGUC